rnacentral:rRNA from 1 species
AGACAGCAGCAGCCGCGGUAAUACGAAGGGUGCAAGCGUUACUCGGAAUUACUGGGCGUAAAGCGUGCGUAGGUGGUGGUUUAAGUCCGUUGUGAAAGCCCUGGGCUCAACCUGGGAAUUGCAGUGGAUACUGGGUCACUAGAGUGUGGUAGAGGAUAGUGGAAUUUCCGGUGUAGCAGUGAAGUGCGUAGAGAUCGGAAGGAACAUCUGUGGCGAAGGCGACUAUCUGGGCCAACACUGACACUGAGGCACGAAAGCGUGGGGAGCAAACAGGAUUAGAUACCCCAGUAGUCCCUGUCUCUUAUAC